GACGAACGCUGGCGGCGUGCUUAACACAUGCAAGUCGAACGGAAAGGCCCUGCUUUUGUGGGGUGCUCGAGUGGCGAACGGGUGAGUAACACGUGAGUAACCUGCCCUUGACUUUGGGAUAACUUCAGGAAACUGGGGCUAAUACCGGAUAGGAGCUCCUGCUGCAUGGUGGGGGUUGGAAAGUUUCGGCGGUUGGGGAUGGACUCGCGGCUUAUCAGCUUGUUGGUGGGGUAGUGGCUUACCAAGGCUUUGACGAGUAGCCGGCCUGAGAGGGUGACCGGCCACAUUGGGACUGAGAUACGGCCCAGACUCCUACGGGAGGCAGCAGUGGGGAAUAUUGCACAAUGGGCGGAAGCCUGAUGCAGCAACGCCGCGUGCGGGAUGACGGCCUUCGGGUUGUAAACCGCUUUCGCCUGUGACGAAGCGUGAGUGACGGUAAUGGGUAAAGAAGCACCGGCUAACUACGUGCCAGCAGCCGCGGUGAUACGUAGGGUGCGAGCGUUGUCCGGAUUUAUUGGGCGUAAAGGGCUCGUAGGUGGUUGAUCGCGUCGGAAGUGUAAUCUUGGGGCUUAACCCUGAGCGUGCUUUCGAUACGGGUUGACUUGAGGAAGGUAGGGGAGAAUGGAAUUCCUGGUGGAGCGGUGGAAUGCGCAGAUAUCAGGAGGAACACCAGUGGCGAAGGCGGUUCUCUGGGCCUUUCCUGACGCUGAGGAGCGAAAGCGUGGGGAGCGAACAGGCUUAGAUACCCUGGUAGUCCACGCUGUAAACGGUGGGUACUAGGUGUGGGGUCCAUUCCACGGGUUCCGUGCCGUAGCUAACGCUUUAAGUACCCCGCCUGGGGAGUACGGCCGCAAGGCUAAAACUCAAAGGAAUUGACGGGGCCCCGCACAAGCGGCGGAGCAUGCGGAUUAAUUCGAUGCAACGCGUAGAACCUUACCUGGGUUUGACAUGGAUCGGGAGCGCUCAGAGAUGGGUGUGCCUCUUUUGGGGUCGGUUCACAGGUGGUGCAUGGCUGUCGUCAGCUCGUGUCGUGAGAUGCUGGGUUAAGUCCCGCAACGAGCGCAACCCUUGUUCACUGUUGCCAGCACGUUAUGGUGGGGACUCAGUGGAGACCGCCGGGGUCAACUCGGAGGAAGGUGGGGAUGACGUCAAGUCAUCAUGCCCCUUAUGUCCAGGGCUUCACGCAUGCUACAAUGGCUGGUACAGAGAGUGGCGAGCCUGUGAGGGUGAGCGAAUCUCGGAAAGCCGGUCUCAGUUCGGAUUGGGGUCUGCAACUCGACCUCAUGAAGUCGGAGUCGCUAGUAAUCGCAGAUCAGCAACGCUGCGGUGAAUACGUUCCCGGGGCU
rnacentral:rRNA from 1 species